rnacentral:rRNA from 1 species
CCUACGGGAGGCAGCAGUGAGGAAUAUUGGUCAAUGGGCGCGAGCCUGAACCAGCCAAGUCGCGUGAGGGAAGACGGUCCUAUGGAUUGUAAACCUCUUUUGUCGGGGAGCAAAAGACGCCACGCGUGGCGGUCCGAGAGUACCCGAAGAAAAAGCAUCGGCUAACUCGGUGCACGCAGCCGCGGUAAGACGGAGGAUGCGAGCGUUAUCCGGAUGUAUUGGGUGUAAAGGGUGCGCAGGCGGAAGAUUAAGUCAGCGGUAAAAUUGAGAGGCUCAACCUCUUCGAGCCGUUGAAACUGGUUUUCUUGAGUGAGCGAGAAGUAUGCGGAAUGCGUGGUGUAGCGGUGAAAUGCUUAGAUAUCACGAAGAACUCCGAUUGCGAAGGCAGCUCACUGGACUGCAACUGACACUGAGGCUCGAAAGUGUGGGUAUCAAACAGGAUUAGAUACCCUUGUAGUC